rnacentral:misc_RNA from 1 species
UUGACUGAUUAACAGUUUCUACUCCGGAAUUCUUCACACGAACAUAGGUGGUAAAAGAAUAGCGAAUCUUGUUCUCAAUCACAGGAAAUGAUGAGUACCAGGGUCGAAAUACCGAGGUGUCAAUAGCAGGAGUAAAAGUAUCACAUGCUAUAUCAGUCUCAAUUUCAGUGAUAUGGACUGCAUCACAUCCAUGAGCAUUCAGGGAAUCUCUGAAAAUCUCGCCACCUCCUAUAACAAACACAUUUUCAAUAGAGAGACAAUAAGGCGAGGAUGCCAAUAGUUGCAAAGCAGAGCCUAAACUUCCACAUAUGACAACAUUUUCUGCUGUAGCAAUGUCAAAACUUCCUGAACGUGUGAGAACAACAUUGAGGCGUCCAGGAAGAGGGCGAUGUUCAAUAGGAAUACUUUCCCAAGUCUUUCUUCCCAUGACAACAGCAUUCCUUUUUGUAGGAUCCGUUGUAGUCCCAGUGAUACCCUUGAAGAACUUGAGAUCUGUAGGCAGUCUCCAAGGUAACUUCCCCUCCUUACCAAUUCCCAUACUUUGAGUUGCAGCAACCACAACCUGGUAAGUCCGCUGUGGAGUAAAAUGAGCAUUGCCGUUACCAUUGGAAACGCCUUUCUUUGUUUCACUGGCCAUAACUGAGUAAGAGACCUGAAAUGAACUGAAUAAUACUGAUCUGCACCUAAGAUCGACCGACCGGUUCUUGCCAAAACGCAAUAAAACCGAUCGGAAAACAAGAGGCGAUAUGACUGAAAUUUUGAAGCGAUAGAUCAGAGAUUUAGGGUUGUAAAACUGUGAGAGAAGAGAAAAAUAUAUAGAGAGGAGAAAACAAGAGGCGGUUUUUGAAUAUUGUGAGCAGUGAGUAGAGAGGAGGGACUGGACUAUAAAUGGGAAGAUACAAGCGAGGACUAUGGAGCGAAAACUUCAAGAAAAAUCCAAAACCACUCUUGACGCGGAGCAG